rnacentral:tRNA from 1 species
UGGCGAGGUAGCUCAGCUGGUUAGAGCACGGGAAUCAUAAUCCUGGGGUCGGGGGUUCGAGUCCCUCCCUCGCUACCAC